GACGAACGCUGGCGGCGUGCCUAAUACAUGCAAGUUGAGCGCUGAAGGUUGGUACUUGUACCAACUGGAUGAGCAGAGAACGGGUGAGUAACGCGUGGGGAAUCUGCCUUUGAGCGGGGGACAACAUUUGGAAACGAAUGCUAAUACCGCAUAAAAACUUUAAACACAAGUUUUAAGUUUGAAAGAUGCAAUUGCAUCACUCAAAGAUGAUCCCGCGUUGUAUUAGCUAGUUGGUGAGGUAAAGGCUCACCAAGGCGAUGAUACAUAGCCGACCUGAGAGGGUGGUCGGCCCCAUUGGGACUGGGACACGGCCCAAACUCCUUCGGGAGGCAGCAGUAGGGAAUCUUCGGCAAUGGACGAAAGUCUGACCGAGCAACGCCGCGUGAGUGAAGAAGGUUUUCGGAUCGUAAAACUCUGUUGUUAGAGAAGAACGUUGGUGAGAGUGGAAAGCUCAUCAAGUGACGGUAACUACCCAGAAAGGGACGGCUAACUACGUG
rnacentral:rRNA from 1 species